ensembl:lncRNA
CUUUAACCAUCCCUUAGGGAUGUUACUGGCCUCCUUCUUUAGGCCACAGUUCCCUUUUGGCUGCAAAAAGAAAAGACCAGAUGACCGACCUCUAAACGUCUUUUACCUCUGACAUGACUAUAUGCCAACUCCUUCCUCUCCUCCCUAGGACAUUUAAAUGAUGGAAUCACGUAUAAGUUCGGUUAACCUGGCUUCCCUGGUGACUCAGAGGUUAAAGUGUCUGCCUGCAAUGCCGAAGACCUCGGUUCAAUCCUGGGGUUGGGAAGACCCCUGGAGAAGGAAAUGGCAACCCACUCCAGUAUUCUUGCCUGGAGAAUCCCAUGGAUGGAGGAGACUGAUAGGCUACAGCCCACGGGCUUGCAAAGAGCUGGACACGACUGAGCGACUUCACUUUCUUUCUUUCUUUCAGUUGACCGGGCACCAAAGGGCCAAUAUGUAGCCUGGAAACAUGUGCAUCAACACGGGUGAGUUCUUUUUAAGAAGCACCUGUAUUUUAGGAAUGGGUCCAUGGAAUGAGAGGAUUCUUCUCUGCCAAAGGGAAUUGAUCUGCGAUUUACAAAGAAUAAGAUAAUGCUCAUAGUUUUGGUUGGGGGUGGGGAUUAUAAACAUUCUCACUUGAAGCUUCUUUUUCCCCAGUUUUGAAAGUGAAAGUGUUACUCAGUUGUUUCUGACUCUGCAGACAGGUAACUCACCAGGCUCCUCUGUCCAUGGAAGUCUCCAGGCAAGAAUACUGGAGUGGGUUGCCAUUCCCUUCUCCAGGGGAUCUUCCCUACCCAGGAAUCGAAUCCAGGUUUCAGUUUGAAAAGAACCUAAUUGUUUGAAAAAUAUAGGUUACGAGCUACUUAGGAAAGUCCCUCUCAGACGCUCUGCAGACGGCAGAGCAGGAAGUCAAAGGUGGUCGGCUGAGAUUGCUGCCAUCAAUUUCUCAUCAGCGGCUCCGCAACUGUGUCUCUCCUGGGUAAAGUGACAAACAAGCAAAGACAGGUGGUCCUGUUGAUGUCACUGCAGGGUUUCUAGAUUACGAUCGUCUUCAUUAAGACCAUGGUUUGCCAUUGCCCGUUGUUUUAUUUUUUUAAGAAGAGUUAUCUUUUAUUAUGUGAAAAGUCUUCUUUGAAUUUGUUGCAGUAUCACUUCUGUUGCUGAAUGUUCUGGUUUUUUGGCUGAGAGGCAUGGGGGAUCUUAGCUUCCCCACCAGGGACUGAACCCACACCCCACGCAUUGGAAGGUGAAGUUUGACCACAGGACCACCAAGGAAGUCCCUGACCAUUCCUUUAUCAUUAUUUUUGCCAUUCCCUUUUUUGAUAAGUGGACUUCCCAGGUGGUGCUAGUGGAAAAAGAACCCACCUGCCAAUGCAGGAGACCUAAGAGGUGCAGGUUUGACCCCUGGGUCAGGAAGAUGCCCUGGAGGAGGGAAUGGCAACCCACUCCAGGAUUCUAGCCUGGAGAAUCCCAUGAACAGAGGGAUCUGGAGGGCCCCAGUCCGUAGGGCUGCAAAGAGUCGGACAAUAUUGAAGUGGCUUAGCACACACACAAUUUUUGAUAAGUACUGUUUUGCUUUACCCUGGAUCACAAUUUUAGGCACAGAGCUGGAGUACUGAGUUUGGAAUGAAUGAAUGGAUUACACAAAGCUGGGUAUAGCGCAAAGAUGGUCAUGUGAAUUCUGGCUCCACCAACACCCAGCUGCCUGACCCAGAGAGUACAGCUUUUCUUGGCUGUGUUUUUUUCCUCUGGCUUAUUAAUAGAUUGGGCCUCCUCUCCUCAUAAAGUAGGCCCUAUUUCUAGAAGAACACAUUCUUCCAAAAGAGUUAUGAGUCACUUUUAUGCCAUUUCUUGUCCCUUUUUAUGCCAUUUCUUGUCCGUCAGAAUUUCCAGCAGAAAGAGGAAUAAAAUGUAAUUUGAUGUCUUCUUUCUAGUCCAGACAGAAUCUUUAAUCCUAACUCUAAUCCUUCUCUUUUUGGCUACUAAGAUCUCAACUUUCAGUUUUAAGAUAAAUACAUUCUGGAGAUGGGACGUAUCACGUGAAGCCACAUGAAAAGCUCUCAACUUCCAGUUAUAAGAUAAAUAAACCCUAGAGAUGAAAUGUACCAUGAAAUGAUGAUAGUGAACAAUAUAUUUGAAAGUUGCUCAAGGAGUAGAUUUUACAAAUUCUCAUUACAAGAAAAAAAUUAUAACUUGGUGUGUGAUGAAUGUUAACUAGACUUACUGUGAUCACGUCAUAACAUAUACAUGCGUGAAGUCAUUAUGUUGCACACCUUAAACUGAUACCAUGUAAUAUGACAAAUAUAUCUCAAUAAGCUGGAAAAACAUCUCAGAUUGUAGAAUGAUAAAGGUAAUAAACAAUAAAGAUACAUAAUAAAGGUAACAAUCAUUUGUUAAAAGUGUACUACAUUUUAAGUCAUUUUCAUGCCCUAUUUUAUUGAAUCUGUACAAUAAUUGUGUUGGAAUCAUUACAUUCUAAUUCUAGAAAAGAAAUAAUGAGGCUAAUAGGGGUUAUCACUUAUGCAAAGUAACACAGUUAGCAAGUGUCAGAGCUGAGAUUGGAGCCCAAGGCUUUUUGUCUUCAAAGCCUUGGCUAUCUCCCUACAAAAACAGUAAGGAUCUUAGACAAGGCCACUUCUACACCUCCUGGUGUGUGUGUGUGUUAGCUGCUCAGCUGUGUCCGACUUUGCAACCCCAUGGACUGUAGCCUGCCAGGCUCCUCUGUCCAUGGGAUUUCCCAGGCAAGAAUACUGAGAUGGGUUGCCAUUUCCUCCUCCAGGGGAUCUUCCCGACCCAGUGAUCGAACUUGGGUCUCCCACACUGCAGGCUGAUUCCUUACCAUCUGAGCCACCUUCUCCAAGUCUCCAUCAUCAUUGUCUUUUCUAUCUAGUGCCUCAUUCCUUGUGCUUCAGAUACUCAACUUCAGUGUUUGAGGGGUGGAGAGAGAUGGGUUGGGUUGUGUCUGGAUUCUUGUUAGGAUAACCAGCAGAUCAUCUUGCCUUGCAUGACCCUGGGGCAGAAUCAGUGCUUUGCAGGUAAAUUGGCUGUGACCCUUUGCGACCCCAUGGAUUGCAGCCCAUCAGGCUCCGCUGUUCUUGGGAUGUUUCAGGCAAGCAUACUGAAGUGGGCUGUCAUUUCCCUCUCCAGGGGAUCUUCCCAGCUCCAGGGAUCAAACCAUAUUCAUCCGUGUCUCUGUACUGCAGGCAGAUUCUUCACCUGCUGAGCCAUUGGGGAAGCUCAAGCAAAUUGGCACUAAAUCUCAGUUGUUGAACCAACACUUCACUCAUGUUGAUUAAGCACUUACUGUGGGUCUAGGAUAUCAGCAGUGGUUUUGCAAAGAUGAAUAUGAUUCAAGACCUCAAAGCUGGAAGGAGAGGUCUGCACAGAGAUGGUCAUAGCUGGCCGGGCUAAGGGCUGUGUGUCUUGGUGCUUAGCUUAGCAGGGUCUGCUGAGACUCUUGGGUUCUAGGCCCUUCUUCCCCAUGACUCACCUCCUAACCCUAAACAAAUUAUGUCAACUUUUCUGUGCCUCAGUUGCUUCACCUAUAAAGCGAGGAUAAUCACAGUGGCUUACUUCAGAAGGAUGUAGUGAGAAAAGUCUAAUAAAAAGACGAAACAGUAAAUGUCAGAGGGUUUAUUAAGAAUUAGUGCUACCUGAAUGCUGAAUGAUGAACCAGAAUUUCUUCUGUGUCAAAGGCAGCAGCCAGUUGGGCAAUGUUCUAGUGUUUAAUCGCUUACUCUCCAGACUUGCCUCAGAUGGAAGCUUCCCCCUUAAUAACAGAAGCCUAUGUGGGAAAGGUGCUUAGUCAAGUGCUGAGAAGGAAGAGUUGUCUAAUCUUUUUGGUAUUCUUACAGUUAGGUAUUCCAGCUGGGUAAGCAUCUUUCUGUUUCUUAAAGAUAUUGAAGAGAGCAAGGAGGAAGUCAAGUUUUCCUCAUUUAUUUAUUCACUCAUUAAUUCGGCAAGUAUUAUUUGAUGUGAUGUGAGAGUUGGACCAUAAGGAAGGCUGAGCGCCAAAGACUUGAUGCUUUUGAACUGUGGUGUUGGAGAAGAUGCUUGAGAGUCCCUUGAACUGCAAGGAGAUCAAACCAGUCAAUCCUAAAGGGAAUCAGUCCUGAGUAUUCAUUGGAAGGACUGAUGCUGAAGCUCUAAUACUUUGGCCACCUAAUGUGAAGAACUGACUCCUUGGAAAAGACCAUGAUUCUGGGAGAGAUUGAAGGCAGGAGGAGAAGGGGACGACAGAGGAUGAGAUGGUGGGAUGGCAUCACCGACUUGAUGGACAUGAGUUUGAGGAAGUUCUGGGAGUUGGUGAUGGACAGGGAAGCCUGGCGUGCUGCAGGCCAUGGGAUUGUCCAGAGUUGGACACGACUGAGCUACUGAACUGAACUGAACUGAUAAUUUGUUGAACUGACAAGAAUUCACAUAUCUCUGAUAGUUCUUAGAAAUCACCAGCCAUCAAUACAUCCGCUUUCAGUUUUUAUAAGUGAGAAAUAGAGCUCUUAAAAAAUUGAUGGAUAUUUGAUUGACAAUGCUGUUUUUAUUUCAGGUGUACAGCAAAGUGAUUCAUAUAUAUAUAUUUCUUUUCCAUAUUCUUUUUCAUUGUUGGUUAUUACAAGAUAUUGAAUGUUAUCCUCUGUGCUAUACAGGAGGUCCUUUUUGUUUAUCUAUUUUAUAUACAUUAGUGUGUAUCUGUUAAUCCCAAGUUCCUAAUUAAUCCCCCCUUUUCCCUUUGAACUGUGGUGUUGGAGAAGACUCUUGGGAGUCCCUUGGACUGCAAGGAGAUCUAGCCAGUCCAUCCUAAAGGAGAUCAGUCCUGAGUUUUCAUUGGAAGGCCUGAUGUUGAAAAUGAAGCUCUAAUACUUUGGCCACCUAAUGCAAAGAGCUGACUCA